UCAGUCAUAUUGAAUGCCUGCUGGGAAGU
rnacentral:piRNA from 1 species